CACAGGAAGGUCACACCAUCCCCCACCAUCAUCAGAGUGGAAACCUGAGAGAUCCUAAAGUUGAGGUGAAAAAAGAAGAGGAAACUUAUGUGAGUGAUGAUCAGGAGGAUGGAAUAUUGAGGCUAAUUCUAGAGGACGGCACUUCCACAGAGAUCAGCACAGUAGAUGGACGGGAGAUGAGGAAAACCUCAGAGGAUUGUCU